rnacentral:lncRNA from 1 species
AUGCUUAAAGUUUCCUAUAUAAAAAUAUACAAAUGCAAAAAUAUAUAUCGAGAGAGAGAGAGCGCGGAAAGGAUCGGCCGGAGGAAUCGCCGCGGUCGCUUCCUCCCUCCCUGCAGAUCUUUUAAAAACAAGGUUUUUUUAAAAAAAAAAACGAAACGAAAGACACCUUCGCACUUCACAGUUUGGCUGGGGUUGCUCCGCCACCGGCUCCGGCCUCGCGUCCCGCUCCGGGAGCGGAGGCGGCAGCGGGAGCCGGCGGCACUCGGGCUCCGCUCGGGGCGGCCGAGGAGGGAGCAGUCGGAGGAGGAGCGCGCGUCUCGGCUCUCGGCCGCCCGGGAAGUUUCCUGGUUAUCCUCAGGCAGGGAAAAGGAGGGGGAAAAUAUACUUUUGAGGAAAAUAUACAGCAGGAGCGCCCUCGUUUUUCUGCCGGGAGGGAGGAAGAGGCCGCGCGGGCCCUGGAAGACGGGACCUCCGUGCCCGGGGCACCCGGUCCGGGUGGCUCUGGAGCAUCCCCAAGGAUGGAGACGCCACCAGCUCCCCGAGCGCCCUGCUCCCGGGCUCCCCGGCCGCCAGCAAGCUCUUCCGCACGUUCCGGCCCGGCGCUGGGCGGGAAGAGUCUGGCCCCGUCCUCUUUACACCCCCCUUCAGAUGCUUAAAUGCAUCGGAAGAUCCCCUGGUCUCCUCCGGGCUGACCGGUCCCAGCGCCCGGCCGUUCCUCCUACGGGAGAUGCUCCGGUCCCUGGACCAUCUCGGCAGCCCUUUGCCGGACUGCUUCCCAGUAGCUCCACCUUAAACUGGGAGCCCAGCACUGGUCCCAGCACGGGGCCGGGACCACCUCCCUCGUCCRUUCCCAUUGCCGGCCGCCGGCGCCGUUUCACAUCUAACCUUUCCGCACGUCUCGCCCGCGGCCGCCUUCCCGACGGGGCGUUCCCAGGGUCUCCGGCUCCGACCCGCUCCUGCCUCGUCUCCCCCCACGUUUCUGCUCGGAAACAAAAGAGGGUGAACGGAGGGGUCCGAGGGCCCCUUCGCGCGCCGGGCGUUUCGGCUUAUCGCGGGGGCCCAACGAAGCUGCCCCGCGGGCUCGGCCGCCCGUUUGCGGCCGGAGGCGAAAGGGCAGAUGUUGUCUCGGCCCUCGAGCGGGGGAGCGAAAGGAAGAGGCCUCCGCCGUCCCCGCGGCGGGGUGGCAAAAGCCGUGCCCUGAAAAAAAAGAGUUUUCCCCAAUUUCCAACACCCGUUUUUUUCGUUUCUACAAGCCGGGCAGAAGGGCGACGCCUCGGAGCCRGA